rnacentral:rRNA from 1 species
UACGUAGGUGGCAAGCGUUGUCCGGAUUUACUGGCGUAAAGAGCGCGCAGGCGGUCGUUCAAGUCGCGUGUGAAAGCCCCCGGCUCAACUGGGGAGGGUCACGCGAUACUGAUCGACUCGAAGGCAGGAGAGGGUAGUGGAAUUCCCGGUGUAGUGGUGAAAUGCGUAGAUAUCGGGAGGAACACCAGUGGCGAAGGCGACUACCUGGCCUGUUCUUGACGCUGAGGCGCGAAAGCUAGGGUAGCAAACGGG